GACGGAGGGUGCAAGCGUUAUUCGGAAUCAUUGGGCGUAAAGAGUGUGUAGGCGGCCGGUUAAGUCAGGUGUGAAAGCCCAGGGCUCAACCCUGGAAGUGCACUUGAAACUGGUCGGCUUGAGUUCGGUAGAGGGUAGCGGAAUUCCUGGUGUAGAGGUGAAAUUCGUAGAUAUCAGGAGGAACACCGGUGGCGAAGGCGGCUACCUGGACCGAAACUGACGCUGAGGCUCGAAAGCGUGGGGAGCAAACAGG
rnacentral:rRNA from 1 species